GAAAUGCGAUACGUAGUGUGAAUUGCAGAAUUCAGUGAACCAUCGAAUCUUUGAACGCACCUUGCGGCCGCCGGUAAUCCGGCGGCCAUGCCCGUCCGAGCGUCGUUUCGACCCUCGGCAGCCCCCCUCAGCCAGCAAUGGCAAGGGGCCGCUGCCGGCAUUGGGCCAGCGCGUUGCCGCCUUUCCAGGCGACGCGCGGCCCGCAGACCAGCGGCGGCAGCGCCCGCGAUGUCCCCUGCGCAGUAACUAAAGCUCGCAUUGGACUCCCGGCGCAGCCCGCCUUUUUUUCUUUUCUUUCGGCGGCUCUCAGCAGCCCUAAAGAAAAAAAAAAACCCCCUUUUAACAGGUCGACCUCGGAUCGGGUAGGACUACCCGCUAAACUUAA
rnacentral:misc_RNA from 1 species